CCAAUAACUAUAUUAAUAUUUGUCAGACUUUGGCAAAGAGGAAUCAGCUUCGUCAAUGCUGGGAGUGGCAGCCUGAACGGAUCAUCAGGAGCGAUCAUACACAAGCAGCAGUUAAUAACUUAUCACUUCAAGAACUUCCAGUGAACUUGCAGAUUUGCUUGCAGAACUUGGAGGCAGCCGUUACUGUGGAUGAGAAACUCUGGACGAGUAAAUGCAUGAUUUUAAACUCUGUAAAAUAUGCAGUUGGAGAUUUCUUCAUUUUGGAACUUGUGCAUGCAGAGCAAAUUCCACUGUUUGUAAAAAUAGUCCUGAUUGUGUAUAUCAGGGCAAACUGGUUUCUUGUUGGAAGACUUUUCACAACACUGGAGUUUAUAAGACACCUUCAUUCGAACGCACCUCAGGAAAAUACAGAAGUACAGAACACACUACAUUCUUCAGCAUACUACUGAAGAGGUUCUACGAGAAUUCCCAUGUCUCACUAUCCCUGUUGUGCUUCUUGAAGAGGCUUCCAUGUUACUUAAAACUGAUGUGGACAAAAAAGUAAUCCAAGGAUUCAGUAAGUUGGCAGCGAAGCUUGUGUCAAUAGCCCCAAACAGCAACCUUAAAAGCCUCUGCUUAAAAUCAGUUGAUGAGAGCCAGACAGACACUGAAAGAAAAGGUCAGAUAGUAAACACAGCUGUUCUUCUCCUGCCAUCUAUUUUCAAAGAAAAUGCCUCUCAUCUCUACGUCAUAAAUCAGGAUCCACACAGCCCAAUACCUACAAUCGUACUCAGCAGCAGUGACGGCAAGCCCUUGAGUGAUUCAACUGAGGUCAAUGUCCAGAUGGAUGGACAAAAAAUGAUUCUGGACAGUGGGGAAAUGGACAUUUCAUUGGCGAUGGGUAUUGUCUUCUCCCUGUACCAUGUCUACAAUGUUGCCUAUCCAAGUGAACUAAAAAAGACAUUUUGCUUUUAGGAGGCAUUUGUUCUCAACUUGGGAACUCUGACUACACCUGUACCAGUAGCUGUGCAAAGAGUGGCAAAUGCAUUAAAUAUCUCCUAGAUUGCCAGCAUAGUGCAGGUGAGAGACUGAAAUUGUCCCAAUGUGGACUAACAAAGGACCAUGAGUCAUCACAUUAAACUUAACUUACAUAACUUAAGGCUGCAGUUCAUUGAUAAUUUAAAUAAAAAGAUUGUUCUUGAAAUAGUUUUACUGAAAAUGCAAACAUGCUGAUGAAAAUGUGUUGUUUAAUUGUCUGUUAUGAAAGUAUUGCUAUUUCUAA